rnacentral:rRNA from 1 species
UGCACCCUACGGGAGGCAGCAGUGAGGAAUAUUGGUCAAUGGGCGGGAGCCUGAACCAGCCAAGCCGCGUGAAGGAAGAAGGCGCCAAGCGUCGUAAACUUCUUUUGUCGGGGAACAAAGGGCGCCACGUGUGGCGUUGUGAGUGUACCCGAAGAAAAAGCAUCGGCUAACUCCGUGCCAGCAGCCGCGGUAAUACGGAGGAUGCGAGCGUUAUCCGGAUUUAUUGGGUUUAAAGGGUGCGUAGGCGGAUUUUUAAGUCAGCGGUAAAAUGUCCGGGCUCAACCCGGGCCGGCCGUUGAAACUGG